rnacentral:piRNA from 1 species
UGUCCUCUUUUAGGAUCUGCC